CAAGGGAUGUGUAGCUUUUUCAAUCCUGGCCAUAAUAUUCUCCUUCAUGCACUUCUCCGUGUCCUUUCUCCUUUCAUUAAGUAAAAUGGAGAUGAUCCCUAAGGACAUCUUGGAAGCCAUAUUUGAAGAUGGUAGAGCCUUGGGCCCCACUUAACUGCUCAAAGACUGGGGAGUGGGAGCCGUUUCAUCAGCACGUUCAGCCACAGAACGCUGUUAGGUGAGCAAAAAACCGGUUGUCUGAGCCAACGCCCGUUUGUCUAUGGGUUGCAGCAGUUGGUCCGCCUAACUAAGGAAGUGCUGAGAGCGGAGGACGUGGAACGACACCAUGCUAAGGUACACGGCGCCUUCCCGGAGGUACAGGAGAGGAUCCAAGUAGCACUCCAGCAAUACAUUCCCAAGGCCCAUGGCCCUGACUCAAGGCAGGCUAAUAAAAGCUAAGAUGCAGCAUUCUAGAAACCCUGAGCUCAACUCUAGCCUGUGCCGACAUCCUGACUUUCAAACCCAUUGGUUUCCAAAAGGAAAAAAGGUUUCAAGCUUUCCAUUCACGGCUGCAUUCAAAAGUAAACUUCUAGAGACAAUGUCCUUGCUUUUAUUGUCCAAAUCAAAGGCACGACUCUCAAGAUGGAAAAACAGAAGGGAAAUUAUCUGGCAGAUACUUUGUGACAAGUGUCAUAAAAGAAGAAAAGACCAAUUCAUCAACAGUGCUUUCAGGGUGGGCUCAGUAGCUCACAGCUGUAAUCCCAGCACUUUGAGAGACCAAGGUGGAAGUAUUGCUUGAGGCUAGAAGUUUGAGAUAAGCCUGGCCAACAUAGCAAGACCUCCAUCUCUAUAAAACAAGACAAAAGAAAAAAGACAAAAAAAAAAAAAAAAAAAAAAAAGGAUUGCUUUCAUUUUCCCAGAAGGGGCUGCACUUUGAAAUAAAAAGUAGUUUGAAUUCCAUGCCUGUCUUAGUCCAUUUUGUGUUGCUACAGCAGAAUACCUGGGUAAUUUACCAUGAACAGAAAUUUAUGUUCUCACAGUUCUGGAGGCUGGGAAGUCCAAGAUCAAGGCUCUGGC
rnacentral:lncRNA from 1 species